rnacentral:rRNA from 1 species
AUGGCUCCGCUCCUGCGGCUGCUGGCCGGCGUGGCCGCGCUGCUACUCGCCGCGGGCGUGUCCCCGGCGUCGGCCUCGAGCUCCGCCGUGGACCUCGGCGUGAACUGGGGAUCGCAGUGCACGCACCAGCUGGACCCCUCCGAGGUGGUGAGGAUGCUCAAGGCCAACGGGAUCAUGAAGGUGAAGCUGUUCGACGCGGACCCCUGGCCCGUCGGCGCGCUGCUCGACUCCGGCAUCGAGGUCAUGCUGGGCAUCCCCAACGACAUGCUGGAGGCGAUGAGCAGCUACGGCAACGCCGAGGACUGGGUGGCGGAGAACGCCACCAGCUACGGGGACAGGCUCAAGCUCCGCUACGUGGCCGUGGGGAACGAGCCCUUCCUCAAGAGCUACAACGGCAGCUUCAUGGAGACCACCGUGCCGGCGCUCAAGAACAUCCAGAAGGCGCUGGACGAGGCCGGGAUCGGCGACACGGUCAAGGCCACCGUCCCGCUCAACGCCGACGUCUACGUCGGCGACAAGCCGUCCGAGGGCAAGUUCCGGCCCGACAUCGACGGCGUCAUGACCAACAUGGUCAAGUUCAUGCACGACCACGGCGCGCCCUUCGUCGUCAACAUCUACCCCUUCCUCAGCCUCUACCAGAGCGACAACUUCCCCUUCGAGUUCGCCUUCUUCGACGGCGGCCGCAGCAUCCAGGACAACGGCGGCGUCAGCUACUCCAACGUGUUCGACGCCAACUACGACACCCUCGUCAGCGCGCUCAAGAAGGCCGGCGUGCCCGGCCUCAAGGUCAUCAUCGGCGAGGUCGGCUGGCCCACCGACGGCAACAAGAACGCCAACCCCAAGCUCGCGCGCCGCUUCUACGACGGCCUCCUCAAGAAGAUGGCCAAGAACGAGGGCACCCACCUCCGGCAGGGCAAGAUGGACGUAUACCUCUUCGGCCUCUUCGACGAGGACAUGAAGAGCAUCGCGCCGGGCAACUUCGAGCGCCACUGA